GAAGAGGAAGGGGAGUAAUCUUCUAACAAGGUAAGUUUCAUGUGGAAAGCUCAUCCAAAGGGAAGGGAAUAUGUGAUCAAUUCUAGAGAUGGAUUUGGUAUUUUAGGUUUAAGUUUUUCCUUAAUUUUGUAAUGAUUAUCAGCUGUGGAUGUCUAUUACCCGUUGCAAACUAUUGAGAUGUGGUGAGAACCUUGUGGUUGUUUAUAUUCGGUCCCGGUUUGGCUUCACGCCAUGUAGACCUUUGUAUACAUUAAUGAUUGAUGAUGAAAUCUAUAGCAAUUUGAAC